GAGUGGGGCAGCUACCAUGCAAGUCGAGCGGAGAGAGGUAGCUUGCUACUGAUCUUAGCGGCGGACGGGUGAGUAAUGCUUAGGAAUCUGCCUAUUAGUGGGGGACAACAUCUCGAAGGGGAUGCUAAUACCGCAUACGUCCUACGGGAGAAAGCAGGGGAUCUUCGGACCUUGCGCUAAUAGAUGAGCCUAAGUCGGAUUAGCUAGUUGGUGGGGUAAAGGCUUACCAAGGCGACGAUCUGUAGCGGGUCUGAGAGGAUGAUCCCCCACACUGGGACUGAGACACGGCCCAGACUCCUACGGGAGGCAGCAGUGGGGAAUAUUGGACAAUGGGCGCAAGCCUGAUCCAGCCAUGCCGCGUGUGUGAAGAAGGCCUUAUGGUUGUAAAGCACUUUAAGUGAGGAGGAAGCUACUCUAGUUAAUACCUAGGUAUAGUGAAUUUUCCUCCAAAAAUAAGCACCGGCUAAUUACGUCCCCCCCCACCCCAAUA
rnacentral:rRNA from 1 species